GUGAGGAAUAUUGGGCAAUGGGCGAAAGCCUGACCCAGCGACGCCGCGUGAGGGAAGAAGGUCUUCGGAUUGUAAACCUCUUUCAGCAGGGAAGAAGAAAGUGACGGUACCUGCAGAAGAAGUCACGGCUAACUACGUGCCAGCAGCCGCGGUAAUACGUAGGUGGCGAGCGUUAUCCGGAAUUACUGGGUGUAAAGGGUGUGUAGGCGGGAAUGCAAGUCAGACGUGAAAUCUACGGGCUCAACCUGUAAAUUGCGUUUGAAACUGUAUUUCUUGAGUAUGGGAGAGGUAAACGGAAUUCCUGGUGUAGUAGUGAAAUGCGUAGAUAUCAGGAGGAACACCGGUGGCGAAGGCGGUUUACUGGACCAUAACUGACGCUGAGACACGAAAGCGUGGGGAGCAAACAGGA
rnacentral:rRNA from 1 species